AUGGUUAUUGAGCAGGCCCAGGAACUUAUAACUAUAAACUUCCCUGCUUGUCCUUUUAUGUCUUGUCAUUGCCAUAUGAAAAACAAGUCCCAGAAGAAGGAUGAGAGAAAUGUGGAGCUAGAUCUAGACCUGCUGAGCUGCACUGUGAAAAAGAUGAUCCCAACCACCACAGCCUUAAGAAGAGACAUCUCUGCUGAUCCACAGGUUCAUGAAACCAUCGCUCCAAGGCAGCGGCAAAACCGCCUCACCAGCAUCAAGAGUCGCGCUGGAGACACACGUGGGGCUCCUCCGCUGGGAAUCUCCUGGUGCAUGAGCAACAAAAAUUGGUCUGAAAGUGUGGCGUCCUCUCGAUCUCUGCGCUUUCAGUGGGAGCUACAAUCCCGAGCUGCUAGUGAUCAGCCAUCUUGGAUCUCUCUCUCCAAAAUGACGAAACUUACUCUCAGGAACACAUGCCGUGGAGAGAAAGCCAAAGAUAAAUCACCCUGUUUUCAGUUCAGAAAAGAACUCAAGAAUAUUUCACAAGCUCAAACGAAGAAAACUGCUCAAGACAGUAUUGCUGGCACCCCCCCACACUCUCCCCCAGCAGAGACAGCCCAAGUGCUGAGGAUACACCCACUGACCCCAGCUUUGUCAGAGCACACUCAAGGUCAGCACCUGGGGGUCAGAGAAUUUCUCUGCAUUCCAGCACUGCUCUUUGCCAUCUGGCACAGGACAGCAGAAGCUCAGUCCUCAGCUCAGACCCUCUGGGCAGGUGCAUGCCUGAUUGAUGAUGAAGGGAGAGAUGGCGGCCCCAAGCAUUUUCUGUACCCCCACGUGGCUGCGCUGCCUCUUUUAGGGGCGGGGUUGUCUCGCUGCGAAAGGAAUAACGUUCAUGAGAAAUCCAAGGCAGGAAAAAAUCAAGGUGACCCCAAGAAAAUGGCUCCUCCUUCAAAGGAGGUAGAAGAAGAUAGUUAAGAUGAGGAAAUGUCAGAAGAUGUAGAAAGUGAUAGCAGUGGAGAAGGGGUUGUCAUACCUCAGAAGAAAGGCCAGAAGGCUGCUGCGAUCCUGCCAAAGAAAGUAGUAGUUUCCUCAACAAAAAAGGUUGCAGUUGCCACACCAGUGAAUGAAGCAGCUGUCACUCCAGGCAAAAAGGCAGCAGCAACACUUGUCAAAAAGAUAGUUACACCAGCCAAAGCAGUCGCCAUACCUGUCAAGAAGGGAGCCACACCAGGCAAAGCAUUGGUAGCAACUCCUGGUAAGAAGAGUGCUGCCACCCCAGCCAAGAGGGCAAAGAAUGGCAAGAAUGCCAAAAAGGAAGACAGUGAUGAAGAGGUGGAGGAGGGCAGUGAGGAGGAUGAUGAGGAUAAGGAUGAAUUUGAACCAACAGUGGGGAAAGCAGCAGUUGCUGUCCCUGCCUCAGAGGAUGAGGAUGAUGAGGAUGAUGAUGAGGAGGAGGAGGAUGGUGAUGAAGACAACGACUCUGAAGAGGAAGCUAUGGAGACCAUGCCAGCCAAAGGAAAGAGAGCUGCAAAAGCUGUUCCUGUGAAAGCCAAGAACGUGGCUGAGGAUGAAGAUGAAGAAGAGGAUGAUGAGGACGAGGAUGAUGAUGAAGAUGAGGAUGAAGAUGAAGAUGAGGAAGAUGAUAAGGAAGAAGAGGAAGAAGAUGAGGAAGAGCCUGUCAAAGAAGCACCUGGAGAAGGAAAGAAGAAAAUGACCAAACAGAAAGCAGCUCCUGAAGCCAAGAAACAGAAAGUGGAAAGCACAGAACCGACCACAGCUUUCAAUCUUUUUGUUGGAAAUCUAAACUUUAGCAAAUAUGCUCCUGAAUUAAAAACUGGUAUCAGCGAUGAUUUUGCUAAAAAUAAGCUUGCUGUUGUGAGUGUCAGAAUUGGUAUGACUAAGAAAUUUGGUUAUGUGGAUUUUGAAUCUGCCGAAGACCUGGAAAAAGCCUUGGAACUUACUGGUUUGAAAGUCUUGGCAAUGAAAUUAAACUAGAGAAACCAAAAGGAAAAGACAGUAAGAAAAAGCAAGAUGCGAGAACACUUUUGGCUAAAAAUCUCCCUUACAAAGUGACUCAGGAUGAAUUUUAAAAAGUGUUUGAAGAUACUACUGCAGAGAUCACAUUAGUCAGCAAGGAUGGGAAAAGUAAAGAGAUUGCUUAUAUUGAAUUUAAGACAGAAGCUGAUGCAGAGAAAACCUUUGAAGAAAAGCGGUGAAUGGAGAUCAAUGGGCGAUCUAUUUCCCUGUAUUAUACUGGAGAGAAAGGUGAAAAUCAAGACUAUAGAGGUGGAAAGAAUAGCACUUGUAGUGUUGAAUCAAAAACUCUGGUUUUAAGCAACCUCUCCUACAGUGCAACAGAAGAAACUCUUCCGGAAGUACUUGAGAAAGCAACUUAUCAAAGCACCCCAGAACCAUACUGGCAAAUCUAAAUGGUAUGCAUUUAUAGAGUUUCCUUCAUUUGAAGAUGCUAAAGAAGCUUUAAAUUCCUGUAAUAAAAGGGAAAUUGAGGGCAGAGUCAUCAGGCUGGAGUUGCAAGGACCAAGGGGAUCACCUAAUGCCAGAAGCCAGCCAUCCAAAACUCUUGUUUGUCAAAGGCCUGUCUGAGGAUACCACUGAAGAGACAUUAAAGGAGUCAUUUGAGGGCUCUGUUCUGGCAAGGAUAGUCACUGACUGGGAAACUGGGUCCUCCAAAGGGUUCGGUUUUGUAAACUUCAACAGUGAGGAGGAUGCCAAAGCUGCCAAGGAGGCCAUGGAAGAUGGUGAAAUUGAUGGAAAUAAAGUUACCUUGGACUGUGCCAAAUCUAAGGGUGAAGGUGGCUUUGGGGGUCAUGGUGGAGGCAGAGGUGGCUUUGGAGGAUGAGGUGGUGGCAGAGGAGGCCAAGGAGGAUUUGGUAGCAGAGGCCGGGGAGACUUUGGAGGGCGAGGCAGCUUUCAAGGAGGCAGAGGAGGAGGAGGUGACCACAAGCCACAAGGAAAGAAGAUAAAGUUUGAAUAGCUCCU